UAAAAAUAAUAAAUCUGAGUUUCCAUUGCCUGUGGUUAUUAAACUAUGGCAGGGAAGCCGGUAGGGUGUGCCGGGAAACCGGUACGCCUCCCAGUGCGGAAAGGAUUUAGCGGGAAUUCCAG
rnacentral:ncRNA from 1 species